rnacentral:rRNA from 1 species
AGGAUGAACGCUGGCGGCGUGCUUAACACAUGCAAGUCGAACGAUUGAAGCUGGAGCUUGCUCCGGCCGAUUUAGUGGCGGACGGGUGAGUAACGCGUGGGUAACCUGCCUCAUACAGGGGGAUAGCAGUUGGAAACGACUGGUAAAACCGCAUAAGCGCACAGUAUCGCAUGAUACAGUGUGAAAACACUCCGGUGGUAUGAGAUGGACCCGCGUCUGAUUAGCUAGUUGGUGAGGUAACGGCCCACCAAGGCGACGAUCAGUAGCCGGCCUGAGAGGGUGAACGGCCACAUUGGGACUGAGACACGGCCCAAACUCCUACGGGAGGCAGCAGUGGGGAAUAUUGCACAAUGGGGGAAACCCUGAUGCAGCGACGCCGCGUGAGUGAAGAAGUAUUUCGGUAUGUAAAGCUCUAUCAGCAGGGAAGAUAAUGACGGUACCUGACUAAGAAGCACCGGCUAAAUACGUGCCAGCAGCCGCGGUAAUACGUAUGGUGCAAGCGUUAUCCG